CUAAAGGGAGAGUUUGGCUCAGAUAUUUUAUUGUAACAUCGUCAUCAUCUCCUUUAGAUUUUUAUAUCACUGUACAUCCCAGCUGAGCAGGCUGUGCUAAUAAUUGUUCUUUUUUGGAAAAAAAAAAAAAAAAAAAAAAAAAAAAAAAAAACACUAUGAAUGUAACCCCUGUUUGCCUUCUUUCAAUUUCAUAUUUUUCUUUCUUUUGGUCCAAAAAAAUAAUUUUUAAACUAGUCAAAACGGUGCUGAAGAAUUGUUUUCUCUUACACAAACUGUAAGAGAAACUGUUUCUGCUACAGGUGAAUUUCCUCCCGCCCAGCCCCUCCCCCCCCACCAAAAUUCUGCAGGUGAAUUCAAUCCCAAAUCAAACUCUUGCUCCAUGACACCAGCUGCACAGAAUGCAAACCAAUAUAAAAGGCCUCAUGCAGAGUUGAUCUUGUUUGGGUGGUUCAACAGUGGUAUUUAGCUGCUACAUGCUGGUUCAUAGAGAAUUUCUUACUAAUGAGCAGCUUGAAUUAUAAUAUUCACAUCUGGUUCAGCAAGAGAAGAUCAAGGCGGUGUACAUCUUCAAGUUCUGCGUUUUGUGAUGUGCAUGAAGCAAAAUGAGAAUGAAUUCCAGGGAUUGCAUAAGGGAAACGUGUAGCGCCAUUUUACAAGCAGUCAAGUUUUCGAACUAUGAGCUUCACCCAGCUCUGCCAUGGACCAUUCUACAUAAUACAGGCUGUAUUAGGUCAGUCAUAUAGGACUGGUACAUGCUAUAUUGGCCCAAACUGAAAUAGAAUAUUUAAUAUAGAUAAUGGUGAAGAUAUUUUAUUUCCAUUCUAUCCAAAUACUUACCUGGUGACUAUUGGAAAAAUACCUAUCUUUUGUUCAUUUGUCUUACACACUUUCAAGUAAGCAUUGAUAGCCUGUUUUCUUUCUUUCUGCCUGCUUCUCUCACCACCAGUGUAACUAGAAGAGAUUUAGAAGUCAAAUUUGAAGAUUUCAAAUUUUACCUCAUCAACAGUGAAUUUGAUGGAAAAUGUCCUCUUGACUUCAAAGAACAUUGAAUUGUGCUGUUAUAUAAAAUGUCUGCGAUAAAUCUGGAAAAUUAACCUACUUACGCUUAAUGCCCUGUUCAAUAUCUUAAUCAUUCGUUGAGAAAAUAUAAAAGCACUACAUAACCAUCACUAUUAUAUAUCUUCAUUAAAAUGGAUGGGAACAGCAUCUUUGAUGAUCAUAACUUAACCAAAGCAGUAAAAAAAAAAUCAUGUCUAAAAAUAACCAGCCUUCUAAUACAGAUCCUGGGUGCUUGCAGUUUUGACUCCCUCACCUUCAGUCCUUAGCCAAUUAUUAGCCAAGAUUCUCUUUUUGCGUGUAGUCAUUUAACUAAACAUCAGUUUUGUGUAAACAAAACAUGCCAUUCAUUAAUCCUGCAGUAACAGCUAGUGUGUAACCUUAGGUUUCUCAGCGAUGUACAAAUGUUUGACAAAAGACUAACUAUGACAAUUAAAGCAGCUUCCUUCAUCAAAAUAGAAUGGUUGCAAAGAGCUGUUUCACUAUUGUAUAGCUAUCAAUCAAACAGCUGAAUGUGAGCUAAUGAAAAAGUCACUUUCUUUCUGCUGCCUACAGCAAGAGAGAAUAAUAGUUGAGAAAGG
rnacentral:lncRNA from 1 species